GGAGAGGUGUCCGAGCGGCUGAAGGAGCACGCUUGGAAAGCGUGUGUGGUGUCACAGCCACCGUGGGUUCGAAUCCCACCCUCUCCGCCA
rnacentral:tRNA from 1 species